GAUGAACGCUGGCGGCGUGCCUAAUACAUGCAAGUCGAGCGAACAGACGAGGAGCUUGCUCCUUUGACGUUAGCGGCGGACGGGUGAGUAACACGUGGAUAACCUACCUAUAAGACUGGGAUAACUUCGGGAAACCGGAGCUAAUACCGGAUAACAUGUUGAACCGCAUGGUUCAACAGUGAAAGACGGUCUUGCUGUCACUUAUAGAUGGAUCCGCGCCGCAUUAGCUAGUUGGUAAGGUAACGGCUUACCAAGGCAACGAUGCGUAGCCGACCUGAGAGGGUGAUCGGCCACACUGGAACUGAGACACGGUCCAGACUCCUACGGGAGGCAGCAGUAGGGAAUCUUCCGCAAUGGGCGAAAGCCUGACGGAGCAACGCCGCGUGGGUGAAGAAGGUCUUCGGAUCGUAAAACUCUGUUAUUAGGGAAGAACAAAUGUGUAAGUAACUAUGCACGUCUUGACGGUACCUAAUCAGAAAGCCACGGCUAACUACGUG
rnacentral:rRNA from 1 species